AGUCGAGGGAGANUGUUGGAUUCGUCUGACAUGAAACCGGCGCACGGGUGCGUAACACGUAUGCAACCUACCUUUAACUGGGGUAUAGCUCAGAGAAAUCUGAAUUAAUCCCCCAUAAGACUACGACAUGGCAUCAUGAUGUAGUUAAAGCUCCGGCGGUUAAGGAUGGGCAUGCGGUACAUUAGCUAGUUGGUGAGGUAAUGGCUCACCAAGGCUACGAUGUAUAGGGGGUCUGAGAGGAUGAUCCCCCACACUGGUACUGAGGCACGGACCAGACUCCUACGGGAGGCAGCAGUAGGGAAUAUUGGUCAAUGGACGCAAGUCUGAACCAGCCAUGCCGCGUGAAGGAUGAAGGCCCUCUGGGUCGUAAACUUCUUUUAUUAGGGAAGAAAACAUGGGAUGCGUCCCAAACUGACGGUACUUAAUGAAUAAGGAUCGGCUAACUUCGUGCCAGCAGCCGCGGUAAGACGAAGGAUCCAAGCGUUGUCCGGAUUUACUGGGUUUAAAGGGUGCGUAGGCGGAAAAUUAAGUCAGUGGUGAAAGCCCGCAGCUCAACUGUGGAACUGCCAUUGAAACUGAUUUUCUUGAAUAUAGCUGAGGCAGAUGGAAUAUAACAUGUAGCGGUGAAAUGCUUAGAUAUGUUAUAGAACACCGAUUGCGAAGGCAGUCUGCUAAACUAUUAUUGACGCUGAGGCACGAAAGCGUGGGGAGCGAACAGGAUUAGAUACCCUGGUAGUCCACGCCCUAAACGUUGAUUACUCGCUGUUGGCGAUAUACUGUCAGUGGCUAAGCGAAAGCGUUAAGUAAUCCACCUGGGAAGUACGACCGCAAGGUUGAAACUCAAAGGAAUUGACGGGGGCCCGCACAAGCGGAGGAGCAUGUGGUUUAAUUCGAUGAUACGCGAGAAACCUUACCUGGGCUUAAAUGUCAGNGACCGCUGCCGAA
rnacentral:rRNA from 1 species